UCGAGCAUACUUAACUAGGAGGAGCUACCCACCCACAAUCACAGAAAGACAUAGAAUCAUUUCUUUAGAACUGAAGCUGGAAAAGCAGGAUAGGAUCGUCUGAUCGACCAUGAAGCGGUCAUCUUCUUCUCCGUCCUCGCUCGCAUGUGUCUUGGCAAUCCUCCUGGCGAUCGUGUGCUGCUGCUCCAUGCUGCCACUCCCAUGCUCCGCCAUGUGCAAAGGUACGCAACCACGCGUCAGUUCUAGUUCAUAUAUUUUGAAAGGGGUUGCCCGUUUUGACAUAUAAUUUGUUGCCAUGGCAUCAGGGCGUGCAUUUCGCGACUUUGGUCAGGGGCCUAUGGAGGGGCAAGGCGGAGAAGGAGGUAACCAUGUUGAUCAGGAGGGUGCAUAUGGGCCAGGGGGCGCAGGAAACGGUGGAGGAGGAAACCAAGUAGGUCGGACGCCUCCGGCACCACGGGGUAGAACACCGAGGAACCACAGGUGAUGUGACGGUUCCUGCUGGUCUGCUUCUGUCUUUAGACGUGCAGCCUUUUGGUUGUAAUCUGUGCUGUGGUUCCCAAAUUUGUUAAAACAUUUGUAUCUCAUGCUAGUAAUUUUCUUUUGUCCGGGCAUGUAUCUCUUUUGCGGUCACGUUAACGUUUUGCCCGUGGUGGUUGUUCGAGAGCUAUCAUUCAGAGAGGGUUUCUUACAAGUGCUCCAAAUUGCAAUCGUCUUCAAUUAUUAUGUUUUUCUCUCCAUCCUCCCUUUUUGCUUGGUUGUAAAAAUAUACUAUGAAACUAUCGAUGUUGGCCGGUGAGGCGAGCUUGGUGAUUACGC
rnacentral:lncRNA from 1 species